rnacentral:rRNA from 1 species
CCUACGGGUGGCAGCAGUGAGGAAUAUUGGUCAAUGGGCGCGAGCCUGAACCAGCCAAGUAGCGUGAAGGAUGACUGCCCUACGGGUUGUAAACUUCUUUUAUAAAGGAAUAAAGUGAGGCACGUGUGCCUUUUUGUAUGUACUUUAUGAAUAAGGAUCGGCUAACUCCGUGCCAGCAGCCGCGGUAAUACGGAGGAUCCGAGCGUUAUCCGGAUUUAUUGGGUUUAAGGGGAGCGUAGAUGGGUUGUUAAGUCAGUUGUGAAAGUUUGCGGCUCAACCGUAAAAUUGCAAUUGAUACUGGCAGUCUUGGGUACGGUUGGGGUAGGCGGAAUUCGUGGUGUAGCGGUGAAAUGCUUAGAUAUAAGGAAGAACACCAGUGGCGAAGGCGGAUUACUGAACGAUAACUGACGGUGAGGCGCGAAAGCGUGGGGAGCAAACAGGAUUAGAUACCCGAUAGUC